GGUCAUCCCGCUCUGAAAAAACGGGGGGCCUAUGAUAUUCCCUUUUGGGGGGGGGGGGGGGGGUCCCGUCUUGAAAAAACGGACCCCCUGGCAUUAUCAAAUAAGCGGAAGGAGAGAGAGAACCAACAGGGGGUUGCCCCUAGUAACGGGCGGGUGRAAGACCGCAUAUCAGCAAGCGUUUUGAAAUCGGGGCCCGAGGCCUGACCACAAGUUGUUAAUUUGCAGGAGGAUGCUUCAGGCGGAGGUGCCUCCCCGAGUUCCCUGGAAACGGGGCGCCAAAGAGGGUGAGGAGCCCCGUACGGUUGGACACCAAGCUCAUGUGAAGCUCCCCUCGACGAGUCGAGCAGUUUGGGAAUGCUGCUCUAAGUGGGAGGUACAUUCCUUCUAAAGCUAAAUAUUGGCCAGAGACCGAUAGCGCACAAGUAGAGUGAUCGAAAGAUGAAAAGCACUUUGAAAAGAGAGUCAAAUAGCACGUGAAAUUGUUGAAAGGGAAGCGCCCGUGGCCAGACUUGCCCCUGCCCAUCCCUUGUGCCCCACAAGGUACAAGGACCAAUGGGUAGAAGGCCAGGCCAGCGCCGGUUUCCACCGAGGGAUAAAGCCGUCAGGAAUGUGGCCCUCUUCACGGGGGGUGUUAUAGCCUGAUGGCAUACCUUGGAAGGGACCCGUCUGAGGUCUGAACGCUCUGCAAGGACGCUGGCGUAAUGCCCACCGGCGACCCGUCUUGAACCACGGACCCCCUGCUUUUCAUAAACGGCAGGAAAAAGGCCCCCGUCUUGAA
rnacentral:rRNA from 1 species